GUGCAAUUAUUAUUAUCAGCAUCUAGAAAGCAUCACACGGAGCAUUGACCUUCAUGCUGCAUUGUUCUUACUGGAUCCUCCUAUCCGUGAACAUUAUGCCAAGUACCAAUACAGCAUCAAGUCAUUUCUGGAUGGAAAGUUUUCAAACUUCUUCAUUUGGAGUUACUUAAACGUGAGGGUGUUGGGAUUUUUGAGGAUGCCUUCCCUAUGUGGAUUAUUACAGUUUGAUGACUGAUUCUCUGCCUCAAAGAAGAUUAUUUUGCUAUCUGGAAACUCAUGCCCACCUCUUUGACUUCGGGUCAAAAUUGCUUUCCUCACAGUCUGACUGGGAAAGUUGUAAAACAUUAGAAUGUCCUUCAGCGGUGGGCUGUGGAAUGUCAUUACUCUCAGGUGACUACGGAAGCAUUAGCACCCUGCAUGCUCAGGUGGCCCCCACUCCUACGGACACAGCUCUUUCACCUAUACGGUUUUCUUCUGUAUUUCCUGAUAUAAGUCUCCCCCUGACCCCACUGGAAUGCAUGGAUUUGCAUUUGUUCUUCCAGGAGUGUCUAACUGGAUGUCCUCUGCAAAUUCAUCAAAUGUGCCAUCUUUUCCAUCAUGUGGUCAUCCCUGGGAUCAUCAUCGAACAUCGUUCUCCACCACUCUGGUCCAUGGAUGGUUGUUCUCUUUUGUCCAUUCCAUCAAAUGUCCUGAACACUGUCAGAAGAGGGAAAAGGCUAAUGGAGCUGUUAAGUCUAAGUAUGACUGCCAAGAUGAAUCCAAAAAAGCCAAAGAGCCUGAGCAUGUCAGACCUUCCUGCAGCCUGCCACACACACUUAAAACCCCAGGGAAAUGAGUGCGGCUCAGGAGGGGGGAAGAGCGCCAACCAGAAAUUUUGACAAACCAAUCCCACAGUCUAAGGUCAUACGUCUGUAGCUGAUUCAGACCUGAAAAUGAAUAGAGAUGUCAAAGCACUGAGCAUAUUGGAUGUUCACAGAUGAAUAAGCAAGAUGGCAGAAAUAGUUUUCUAGGUCUUUUUUUUUUCUUUGCCUUUGUAUGUUUUUGGUAAUUCUUCAACUUGAAAUUGUCAUAGAAUAUGUUGUCAUAUUUAUGUUUGCUUGUGCUUAGCAUAAAUAUAUAUAUAAACAUAUAACAUAUAUAUAUAUAAACAUGUAUCUAUGUUUCCAUAGUUCUAUCAUUGCAUCAUAAUAUGUAAUUAUGUGGGGAUAUAUAAAUGCUCCCCCUGUACAAUAGAGGAAAAAUGGGUCUGGUAUUUCCCUUAUGGAAGUAUCUCUAGACUAUUUUAUGUUUGGGGUAUAAUUGUACUUUUUAAAAUUAAAAGGAACAGUUUUAAGUAAUGCAUCAGCCUAUUAAUUACAUGUUUAUUUAUUUAUUUAAAAUACGUUAUUUAUUCAUUUGACAGAGCGCACAAGCUGGGGGAGAGACCAUGAAGUAGGGAGCCUGAUGCAGGGCUCAAUCUGAGGAUCCCGAGAUUAUGACCUGAGCUGAAGGCAGAUACCUAACCAACUGAGGCACCCAGGUGCCCCAGAAAAUGUUUUAAUGAAGUUUACCAAAUUUUAUUUUUUAGUGCUCUGUGUGUGUGUGUGUGUGUGUCUCUGUGUGUGUGUGUGUGUGUGUGUGUGUGUGUGUCUGUGUUUGGGCAGCUGCUGUAGCUCCCGAGAGGAAGCAUAGUCUUAUAGAAAGCUGUAGCUCCCGAGAGGAAGCUGUAGUCUCCUGAGGCUGUUGAGAUGUAAAAUGACCAGGGAUAAGUGGAUAGAAAGUGAACAUGAGUGGUUCUCAUGACUUUCAUGUUACUACAUACUCUACAUUUCUGUCUUUCCCUUUGUGAUUAAGAUUUAUUGGGAGAGAACGGGCUCUAUUGGUUAGAUAUUUGACUCUUUGUUUUGGCUUAGGUCAUGAUCUCAAGGUCAUGAGAUUGAUCCCUUUGUCUCUCCCUCUGCUUCCCCACUUGUGCAUGGUCUCGCAAAUUAAAAAAAAAAAAAUAUUGACACGGGAAUUUUGCACUAAGUUAAUUUCUCACAUCCCAAUGUAUAAUAAAUCUUCUACCUGUAGAAUUACUGUAAAAUUCUAGUAACCAUUUGAAGCAUGAAAAAAAUUGACUUGGAAACCCUAAGAGUACUAUGAUACUUAAAAUCAUAUAGUGCUAAACUUGCCUAGUUGUAUUAUAGUUACAUUUGUCUAUCUUGUCUACUGUAUUUUGGUUUAAUUAAGAGCAGGGGCAAUUUUUAUUUUUAAUUUAAUUUUUAAUUAUUUUUAAGGAUUUUAUUUAUUUAUUCAUUUAAUUAUUUUUAAGGAUUUUAUUUAUUUUAAGGAUUUUAUUUAUUUAUUCAUUAUUUUAUUUUAUUUUUUAUUUAUUUAUUUAUUUAUUUAUUUAUUUAUUUAUUUAUUUAUUUAUUUAUCUCAUGACACAGAGAGAGGCAGAGAGAGAGGCAGAGGGAUGAGAAGCAGGUUCCAUGAAAGAAGCCCCAUGUGGAACUUGAUCCCAGUAUUCUGGGAUUAUGCCCUGAGCCAAAGACAGAUGCUCAACCACUGAGCCACCCAGGUGUCCCUAUUUUUUAAUUUUUUAAACUUUCUUUUUGGUUGUUUUAAAACUAAUCAGAUUGUGAAGUCUUUUUUUAGCUUGUGUAUAUUGACACACAUGUUACAUUAGUUUCAGGUGUAAAACAUAGGGAUUCAACGACUCUAUUCUUUAUAUUGUGCUCACCACAAGUGUAGCUCCAUCUGUCACCAUACAAUGCCACUACAAUACCAUUAACUAUAUUCCAUCUGCUGUAACUUUUAUCCUUGUGACUUAUUCUAUAACUGGCAGCCUAUAUUUACCACUCCCCUUUUAUCCCUUUUGCCCAUAGUUUGGCUCCCUCCUUUUCCCCUCUGGCAGCCAUUAGUUCUCUGUUUAUAGGUCUUGUCCUGCUUUUUGUUUAUUCGAUGUUUAGAUUCCAAAUACAAGUGAAGUCAGGGUCUUAUUCUUUUUUAUGGCUGCAUGAUAUCCCAUUUUGUGUGUGUGUAUGCAAACAUACAUAUCACAACUUCCUUAUCCUUUCAUCUAUUGAUGGGCAUAUAGGUUGCUUCCAUAUCUUGGCUACUAUAAAUAAUGCUGCAAUGAACAUAGGGAUGCAAAUGUCUUUUUGAAUUAGAGUUUUUGUUUUGUUUGGGUAAAUACCAAGUAGUAUAACUACUGGAUCAUAUUGUUAUUCCAUUAAUAUUUUGAGUAACCGCCAUACUGUUUUCCAAAGCAUUCUCAGGUGGGUUCCUUUUUCUACACAUCCAACAAGUAUUGGUGAGCAACACUUAUUUCUUGCUUUUUUUUUAUUAUUAUUUUUAAAAUUUUAACCAUUCUAACAGGUAUGAGGUGGUAUCUCUUUGUGAUUUGAUUUGUAUUUUUGUGAUGAUGAGGCAUGUUGAGCAGAAUCUUUCCAUGUGUUUAUUGGCCACCUGUAUGUCUUGUUUAGAAAAAUUUCUAUUUAGGUCCUCUGCCUAUCUUUUAAUUAGAUUGCUUGGUUUUUGUUUUUGUUUAUUUUGGCAUUAUAUAAGUUCUUUAUCACAAUUUAGAUUUUUGAUCCCUAGUGUAGUAUUUGUUAUAUUAGGAAAUAUUCAACAAAUGCUAGUUGAAUGAGUAAGUUAAUAACUUACCUGAAUUUCUCUUGCAAUCUUCACCAAAGUCAUAUAUUUUUCUUUUUUUUUGGGUAAGUAGCAGAGAUUUGUGUUCAUAUUUUCCCUUCUGGAGUUGACUGACAUUGCCAAGGGACUUUUAUAUUAGUGGUAAAAAGAAUGCUGGAGUUACAGUACAAAUAACCUGCGUUUAAAUUCUGUCAUCACUGUGUCAUUACAUGCUGUGCCUACCUGGAAAAAUUAUUUAUCUUCUCUGAACCCUCAUGUCUUCAUCUCUAAAAUGGGUUAAUAACAGCUACUGUAUAUGGUUGUCAUUUCAGUUACCUUUAUUCAAGAAGCCCUUGAAAUCUCUAAUAUUCUUAAAUGGCUUAGCUCUUUGAAUAGGAAUAAAAUUUUGAAAUAUUUAAUGAUAGUUUAAAACCGUUCACUGUAAAUCUUGUUGCUGUGCACCUGCCUCAGUCAUGGAAUCAAUGGCCUUUCUUGCUUCAGGAGCAUGGCAGAUGCAGUAAAAAUUGUGGAACAAAUGUGUCAUUGUGCACUUGUCAGAAGAGUUCUUGUAUAAGCUAGGAUUUGUUGAAAAUGCUAACGCUUCCAUUUACAUAUUGAGAAGAAAGUCUGAAGGUCUGAGACUCUAGCUUAUAAAAGUGAGAUGGAACCACACAGAAAGGGAAGGCCCCCUGCAGUGAGGCAACAAGAUGUUUGAUGAGAUUUUGGGGGUUGGGAGCUGGGACAAGGUGACUUAAAAUGACAAGAAGGUUGAGGAAGGGCUCCCCCACCCCACCUCACCCCACCCCGGGCCUGUGCAGUAGAGCAGAAAGUGUCAUCUUCCAAAGAGGCCACUCUAUUCACCUCUUCUCCAGGUAACUCAUGUCUUAGAAUUGGCCCAGAUUUUCUGCUGGGGCAGAGAUGGUUAACUGAGCUUAUAAGUCAGCAAUAGCACCAAUUAUAGGUUCACAGAGCAAGCGGAAUCUGUGACAGAGUGUGCAGUGUGCCCCUUUCCACCUGCGAUCCCCACAGUGGACAUAGCCAAGUCUGUAAGGUAAGGAAUAGGAGCCAAGAUGGAGUGUCUGGUCAACUGGGGGAUACGGCUAGAAACUCGUGGAGAGAACCACCCCAGACACUUCAGAAACAGAUACAGCCAGCGAAGGUAGAGAUUUAAACCCAAAGACUGAGCCACAGUAGCUCUGCCCUUCUCAGGACGGAGCAGCCCUCCCAGAAGGGUAAUAAACAGAGUAGACACCCUACUCUGCCACCACAAUCUUGCUUACUUAAACUUCUUCUUGAGGAGAUGCCAAUGUUUCAGGAGAAGAGGCAAGAGAUAAAAAGCCCAGAAACCCUAAAAAUGUCCCCCAAAAGACUAUUUUCUGAGGAACCUGAGUAAUACCAAAUGAAUAAGCUUUAAGGUUCUGUUUUGUUUUGCUCAUUUUGCCACCGAGUGGGAAUGGAGACUUCUGAGCAAGAUGAGGUCAGUUCUGUGAUGGGAAAACAUUUUAUUUACAAAAUUGGUUUUUAUACAUCUGUGUCAUAAUGAAUAAAUUUCAAAUUAA
rnacentral:lncRNA from 1 species